AUUGAACGCUGGCGGCAGGCCUAACCCAUGCAAGUCGAGCGAGCGGCGGACGGGUUAGUAAUGCCUAGGAAUCUGCCUGGUAGUGGGGGAGAACGUCCGGAAACGGGCCAUAAUACCGCAUACAAUCAGAUGAGCCUAGGGCGGAUUAGCUAGUAGGUGGGGGAACGGCUCCCCUAGGCGACGAGCCCUAGCUGGUCUGAGAGGAUGACCAGCCACACUGGAACUGAGACACGGUCCAGACUCCUACGGGAGGCAGCAGUGGGGAAUAUUGCACAAUGGGCGCAAGCCUGAUGCAGCCAUGCCGCGUGUAUGAAGAAGGCCUUCGGGUUGUAAAGUACUUUCAGCGGGGAGGCGUUACCCGCAGAAGAAGCACCGGCUAACUCCGUGCCAGCAGCCGCGGUAAUAC
rnacentral:rRNA from 1 species